rnacentral:rRNA from 1 species
CUGGCUCAGGAUGAACGCUAGCGACAGGCCUAACACAUGCAAGUCGAGGGGCAGCACAAGGAGCAAUCUGAGGUGGCGACCGGCGCACGGGUGAGUAACACGUAUGCAACCUGCCUGUAAGCGGGGAAUAACCCGUUGAAAGACGGACUAAUACCGCAUAAUACUAAAUUACUGCAUGGUAAUUUAUUUAAACAUUUAUGGCUUACAGAUGGGCAUGCGCAUGAUUAGCUAGUUGGAGAGGUAACGGCUCCCCAAGGCAACGAUCAUUAGGGGUUCUGAGAGGAAGGUCCCCCACACUGGUACUGAGACGCGGACCGGACUCCUACGGGAGGCAGCAGUGAGGAAUAUUGGUCAAUGGACGAGAGUCUGAACCAGCCAAGUCGCGUGCAGGAAGAAUGUUCCCUAUGGAUUGUAAACUGCUUUUGCAGGGGAAUAAAGUGCAUCACGUGUGAUGUUUUGUAUGUACUCUGCGAAUAAGGAUCGGCUAACUCCGUGCCAGCCGCCGC